rnacentral:lncRNA from 1 species
UAACCCUAACCCUAGUGCAAUUUUGUAUCACCACUAACCCUAACACUAGUACAAUGAUGCACCACCACUAACCCUAACCCUAACACUAGUGCAAUUAUACACCACCACUAAACCCAACCCAAACAAUAGUGCAAUUAUGUACCGCCACUAACCCUAAUCCUAACCCUAAACCUAACACUAGUUCAAUUAUGCACCACAACUAACCCUAACCCUAAUCCCUAGUGCAAUUAUGUAACCCCACUAACCCUAAC